rnacentral:misc_RNA from 1 species
GGGACUACCAGGGUAUCUAAUCCUGUUUGCUCCCCACGCUUUCGUGCCUGAUCGUCAGUUGUGAGCCAGAUAGCCGCCUUCGCCACCGGUGUUCCACCCAAUCUCUACGCAUUUCACCGCUACACUGGGUAUUCCACUAUCCCCUCUCACACUCUAGUACUGAGGUCUCACAGGCAGUUCCAGGGUUAAGCCCUGGGAUUUCACCCGUGACUCUCAAUACCGACUACGCACGCUUUACGCCCAGUAAUUCCGAACAACGCUUGCACCCUCUGUAUUACCGCGGCUGCUGACAC